rnacentral:tRNA from 1 species
GCGCCAUUAACUCAGCUGGUAGAGUCGUGGACUUUUAAUCCAUUUGUCGUAGGUUCGAGUCCUACAUGGCGCACCA